ACCGCGCGGGAGGGGCGGGGCCUGCCGCCGCCACCGCCUCAGGGAAGAGGAAGGAGGCCGCGGCUUCGCGUCCCGCCUCUCGCCUGGCUGGCCGUGGGGGGCCUGGACGCAGUGGCCUCCCGAAUCUCCCAGGACCCUAAUAUCGCCCGAGGAUGCUGGGAGGAACGCUGAGCCGACCUCUCCGUUAGGCUGAAGAUUGCACAAACCAUGCUAAUGGCCAGCAUGGAUGGAGGGAGCGUGUGAGAUGUGUGGGGCAGCGUGCUGCAUCUCAGCCAACUCCAGGAGGCCAAGCUAUAAAUAAAGGGUGGACUGACCUUGUCAACUGUUAAAUUGGAGCCGUGGUGCGUUGCCUAGAACAUUGCGGAUGACCCCGAGCAGCACAGCAGAUCAACGGCUGAGAAAGAGCUCAUUCAGCUCAUCUAACUAGGAUGCUGUCCUGCCAGAGCCCUGGGGGUUCUCGUCUCCUGGGGCAAAAGCAGCAUGCAACCCUUAUGAACCCAUCUUGGAAGGCAUUCGGGGAGCCCAAGACAAGACCAUUGGGAGCCUCAGGGUCACUUGUGGGGGUCUCUGUGCUGGACGGCUGUACCUCUCAUGAAAUGGACAACUGACCAUAAGAAGGAGUGCCCUCUGCUGACAGAGCUGAGCAUUGUGUCAGGAGAAUAUCAACAGGGACCAGCUCCAGCAUUGCAAGACAGGCAAAGAAGAGUGUGUUUGGAGCCAAAGUGACACCUGCCACAAGCUGGGCACUGCUGUCUAUAGGACCUCAUACUCCACUGUAAGGACUUUUACAAGAGCAAGAGGGCUUCGAGCAGAAGAAUGACACAACCUUAUUCAUACUUUCAGCAGGAUGAUUCUGGUUCCCGAGCUGAGAAUGGACCAGAGGAAGGCAAGGUGGAAGCUGGUGAGGAGGCUGUUGUGUUAAUAUUGCAAUAAGAAUUUAGCAGGCUGUUUAGCAUUUAUGUAAUAAAGAUAUUCCUAUGGGACUGUUACGAUAUCUUACCUAACCAUCACUGCUAACUCUAAGUCUAAAUAAGAAAUAAGUAUUUUUUAAAGAACAUUAAAAAAAUCAAUCACCACAAAAUACAUGCCGACUUUCAUAGUAGGUGAUUAUGAUUAUAUUGCAAUAUAAACUCAAAGUAAACCAAAUCAAACAGACAUUUGGUGUUUUGAUUUUUUUGGCAAAGUGAUUUCUUAACAUCUCUAUUUUGAAAAUUAUUGAAUCUUUUUGAUUAGUAAUACAUUCACAUCGUUUUCAAAAUAAAACAAAGAUAUGCAAAAGUAUUCAGUAAAAAGUCUUUCUUCUGCCUUUAUCCACUAUGUGUCCUGUUCCCAUAAAACUUUUGUUUGCCAGUGGUUUGGAUAAAGAAAAUGUGGUACAGGCCGGGUGUGGUGGCUCAUGCCUGUAAUCCCAGCACUUUGGGAGGCUAAGGCAGGCAGAUCACUUAAGGUCAGGAGUUUGAGACCAGCCUGGCCGACAUGGUGAAACCCCAACUCUUCUGAAAACACAAAAAUUAGCUGGACAUGGUGGCAGAUGCCUGUAAUCCCAGCUACUAGGAAGGCUGAGGCACAAGAAUCAAUUGAACCUGGGAUGCAGAGAUUGCGGUGAGCCAAGAUUGAGCCACUACACUCCAGUCUGGGCGAUAGAGCAAGACUCAAUCUCAAGAAAAAAAAAAAAGAAAGAAAAUAUGGUACAUGCACACCAUGGAAUGCUAUGCAGCCAUAAAAAAGAAUGAGAUCAUGUACUUUGCAGUAUCAUGGAAGCAGUGGAGGCCAUAUCCUAAGCAAAUUAAUGCAGAAACAGAAAACCAAAUAUAGCAUAUCCUCACUUAUAUGUGGGAGCUAAACGUGGGGUUAAUAAAUACUGGCAAUUCCAAAAGAGGGGAUGAAAGGAGGGGAAGGGUUGGAAAACUACCUAUUGAGUACUAUGUUCACUACUUGGGUGACUGAAUCAUGAGUCCAAAUCUCAGAAUCAAACAAUAUGCCCUUGUAACAAACCUGCACAUGUACCCCCUGAAUCUAAAUUUAAAAAUAAAAACUUUUAAUUUUUUUUGUAUCUCUUUCCAGAGUUUUUAAGCAUAAGUGUUAGCAAACACAAAUAUAUAUUAUUAUCUCCCCUUUCGGUUUUACGCAAAAGGAACAUACUAUGCACAUACUUUUCUUCACCUUGCUUCUUCACAAAAUUUUGUAUCUGGAUAUAUUUCCAUAUCAUAGGUAUAGAGAGCCUCUUCAUUAAAAAAAACUGUAUGUACCAUACUGUAUU
ensembl:lncRNA GMDS-DT GMDS divergent transcript